rnacentral:rRNA from 1 species
ACCUCGGAUCAGGUAGGGAUACCCGCUGAACUUAAGCAUAUCAAUAAGCGGAGGAAAAGAAACCAACAGGGAUUGCCUUAGUAACGGCGAGUGAAGCGGCAAUAGCUCAAAUUUGAAAUCUGGCUCUUUCAGAGUCCGAGUUGUAAUUUGCAGAGGGCGCUUUGGUGUUGGCAGCGGUCCAAGUUCCUUGGAACAGGACGUCACAGAGGGUGAGAAUCCCGUACGUGGUCGCUAGCCUUCGCCGUGUAAAGCCCCUUCGACGAGUCGAGUUGUUUGGGAAUGCAGCUCUAAAUGGGAGGUAAAUUUCUUCUAAAGCUAAAUACUGGCCAGAGACCGAUAGCGCACAAGUAGAGUGAUCGAAAGAUGAAAAGCACUUUGGAAAGAGAGUCAAAUAGCACGUGAAAUUGUUGAAAGGGAAGCGCUUGCAGCCAGACUUGCCUGUAGUUGCUUAUCCGGACUUUUGUCCGGUGCACUCUUCUGCGGGCAGGCCAGCAUCAGUUUGGGCGGUUGGAUAAAGGUCUCUGUCAUGUACCUCUCUUCGGGGAGAACUUAUAGGGGAGACGACAUGCAACCAGCCUGGACUGAGNUCCGC